GGCAGUGCAGCACCUCUUCUGCCUUCCUGUCCACCCCUCCUCCUGUUUCUGCACCACCUUGGGUGCAGCCUGCAUAACUGGUUCCUAUACCGUCCUCUGCGUCUCUGCCAAGGUUUGUUCCUCCUCCACCCCUCAGUGUCAAGGAGCGAAGAGAGCUUUUUGGGCUUAGACCGCCCACUUCAGAUUUCCUCACCAGUGUCCCAGGAAGGUCUGCUGUGUAUCCUCAUCUUGAAAGUAGUGGCCUUAUGAAGAAGAGGUCCUGUAGUGCUCUGCUAUGCAGUGUCCCCUGUUCACCAGACCUGAUGCUUCAUGGAUGCCUGAAGUUACUCUUCUAUCAGCUCUGACUUAGAGCUUAGAUUUUUACAGAAGACAAGAAGAGAAGUUAUUUCUGAGUAGCUUCUGUGAAGAGAAAUGAAGCAGCCUAAGGGAAUAGAAAAUGCUGGAGUGUGGUAUUUUGCAUAGAAAGAGGAGAUGCUGACAUCUGGCAUCAUGAAACUUCACAUGUCCAUUAUAAUGAUGGUCUGGUCUGGUUUCCUGGGCUGCACUUGGGCUGAGAUCUUCACAUCUGUUGGACACUUAGCUGGCUUAAUUUCUGUGGAAAAACAACUGGUCGAGCCCCUGAAAGAAUAUAUCCUUUUGGAUGAAGCCAAAUGUCUAUAAUGAAAAGCUGGGCUGAGAAAAGAUAUGCACUGAACCUUGUAAUACCUAAAGACAAGGAAGACUUGGGAAAGUUAGUGGAUGUGUACAAGGUGCUGAAGUGUCUAAAUCAAGUUGAGUCAUUAGCAGAGAGCUUUGCCCUUCAGGACCCAUCUGUUGGUGAGCUGAGCUGUGUGUGUCUGUGUGUGUGUGCAUGUC